rnacentral:rRNA from 1 species
CGUACACUCCUGCGGGAGGCAGCAGUGGGGAAUAUUGGACAAUGGGCGCAAGCCUGAUCCAGCCAUGCCGCGUGAGUGAUGAAGGCCCUAGGGUUGUAAAGCUCUUUCACCGGUGAAGAUAAUGACGGUAACCGGAGAAGAAGCCCCGGCUAACUUCGUGCCAGCAGCCGCGGUAAUACGAAGGGGGCUAGCGUUGUUCGGAUUUACUGGGCGUAAAGCGCACGUAGGCGGACUAUUAAGUCAGGGGUGAAAUCCCGGGGCUCAACCCCGGAACUGCCUUUGAUACUGGUAGUCUUGAGUUCGAGAGAGGUGAGUGGAAUUCCGAGUGUAGAGGUGAAAGUCGUAGAUAUUCGGAGGAACACCAGUGGCGAAGGCGGCUCACUGGCUCGAUACUGACGCUGAGGUGCGAAAGCGUGGGGAGCAAACAGGAUUAGAUACCCGUGUAGUCCC